GUAGGGAGCAAGCGUUGUUCGGAAUUAUUGGGCGUAAAGAGCGCGUAGGCGGCCAGGUAAGUCUGAUGUGAAAUCCCACAGCUCAACUGUGGAACUGCAUUGGAAACUGCUUGGCUAGAGUGCGGGAGAGGAGAGUGGAAUUCCCAGUGUAGAGGUGAAAUUCGUAGAUAUUGGGAGGAACACCAGUGGCGAAGGCGGCUCUCUGGACCGCAACUGACGCUGAGGCGCGAAAGCUAGGGGAGCGAACGGGAUUAGAUACCCCGGUAGUCCUAGCCGUAAACGAUGGGCACUAGGUGUGGGAGGUAUCGACCCCUUCUGUGCCGUAGCUAACGCAUUAAGUGCCCCCCGCCCUGGGAGUACGGUCGCAAGACUA
rnacentral:rRNA from 1 species